rnacentral:lncRNA from 1 species
GAUUGGGUGGAGGCAAGAGAAGAAUAUUUAGAAGCAAAAGGGAAAGACAUGAAACCUCAAACUAAGUGACAAAGUGAGCAUAAUCACUGUCAGAGGAGAAUGUUAAGAAAACACAAAAGAGGUGCCGAUCCACAAGACAAAAAGUGAGAAACACACUCACUCGUCCAAACCCAAAGAAUGGAUUUAGAGGCAUGAAGAACAGCAAAAGUGAAACUAUUAAAUAAUGAUUUUGCAAGAUCAGGUGUCUGCUCAAGGUCACGAUUGGAAAAUAGUAAUCCUCUCUGAAAGCUUCAUACCACAGGAAGUUUUAGGGUACAUGUGCACAAUGUGCAGGUUAGUGGAACGCAGCUCCUCACCAGCAACGGAACAAAGCUGGACGGAGAAUGACUUUGACGAGUUGAGAGAA